ACAACAAGAAGAAGAUUAUAGAAGAGGAAAAAUUAAAAGUCCUUCUUCUUCUUCUUCUUCUUCUUUUCUUUCUUCUUCUUCUUCUUCUU
rnacentral:ribozyme from 13 species